GAUGAACGCUGGCGGCGUGCCUAAUACAUGCAAGUCGAGCGAACGGACGAGAAGCUUGCUUCUCUGAUGUUAGCGGCGGACGGGUGAGUAACACGUGGAUAACCUACCUAUAAGACUGGGAUAACUUCGGGAAAGCGGAGCUAAUACCGGAUAAUAUUUUGAACCGCAGGGUUCAAAAGUGAAAGACGGUCUUGCUGUCACUUAUAGAUGGAUCCGCGCUGCAUUAGCUAGUUGGUAAGGUAACGGCUUACCAAGGCAACGAUGCAUAGCUGACCUGAGAGGGUGAUCGGCCACACUGGAACUGAGACACGGUCCAGACUCCUACGGGAGGCAGCAGUAGGGAAUCUUCCGCAAUGGGCGAAAGCCUGACGGAGCAACGCCGCGUGAGUGAUGAAGGUCUUCGGAUCGUAAAACUCUGUUAUUAGGGAAGAACAUAUGUGUAAGUAACUGUGCACAUCUUGACGGUACCUAAUCAGAAAGCCCCGGCUAACUACGUG
rnacentral:rRNA from 1 species